rnacentral:misc_RNA from 1 species
GAAAUGCGAUAAGUAAUGUGAAUUGCAGAAUUCAGUGAAUCAUCGAAUCUUUGAACGCACAUUGCGCCCGCCAGUAUUCUUGCGGGCAUGCCUGUUCGAGCGUCAUUACAACCCUCAGGCCCCCGGGCCUGGCGUUGGGGAUCGGCGGAAGCCCCCUGCGGGCACAACGCCGUCCCCCAAAUACAGUGGCGGUCCCGCCGCAGCUUCCAUUGCGUAGUAGCUAACACCUCGCAACUGGAGAGCGGCGCGGCCACGCCGUAAAACACCCAACUUCUGAAUGUUGACCUCGAAUCAGGUAGGAAUACCCGCUGAACUUAAGC